rnacentral:lncRNA from 1 species
ACUUGGAGUCUCUGGUAGGGAUCAGAAAAAGCACAGAGCGUGGAGAUGGGAGGGUGCAGUGGAGGACCUGUCUGCCAGUCUGGGGCAUUAGGGCCUCCCCUGGACUUCAGUUUCCCCACCCGCCAUAUCGGUCUCUACCCUGGCUCCUGCUGGGAUUGUUAGGAGCACACACAUGAGGCCAGAGGAACAGGAGAGACUUGGGCCUGUGGCCAGGGCCCAGGGCAGAAGGCCGAUGGCAGCGGGAGCCGGGGAGAGGAGAAGCAGCCAGCACAGAGCCUCCGCGGCAGCCCGGCGUCCGCUGCAGCCUGCAGUGUGUCCCAAUUGCUCCAGCUCACAGGACCCUGAGGACCAUUCAAAGCCCGGUGUUUCUCAGCCGUGCACACUGGACUGAUCAGGGACUUUAAGAACCUGAGGACACCCAGGCCGGUUUCUCAAGCGUCUCUGGGAUGGACCAAGGCUCCCGUAGGCGAUUCUGCUGGACACACACGUAUUAACAGAUACAGACACGGACAGGGUCACCACACAGGAGUGGAGGAGGUCGAACGGUGAGGUUGGCAACAGAGAGCGAUGAACUCCCCCGAAGGCCGGACGCCUCCCAAACUCCAGGGUUAGUUGUCACACUGGGCUACGAUGUAGUGAUGCUGGAUUAAAUAUUCGUUUAGAGUAGAUUCAAGUCCAUUAGAUGUUGGAGGGCAGGUGUAAGGGCUCUGGGUGACAAAUCCAAGUUCAAAGAGCGUAGGGCACCAAGGCAUGGGUCAGAUGGCAAAGCUCCAAAGGGGGCGGCUGGAGAAGUCCGCCUCCUGCUUCCUCUUCCAUCCUUGGGCCCUGCUGACCGGGAGCCCUGGACCAGGCCAAGGAGACCAUCUUUGGAGCUGGCCGACCAUGGUGGGGCUAGUAAGUCACACGCCCUCUCCUCCCCAGGCACACUCCUGCCCCCCACAAGUUUAAUAACCAUAAUAACAAGAUAAUAAUAAGAAGGUGCAAGAGAAUGGAUUAUAAUGCUGUGUUAUCCUCAGCUGAAGAGGCUCGAAGGGCUCACCAUUCCCUUUUUCACUAAGUAUCUAAUAAUAGCUUCCCUUAAAAAAAGGCAGUACUUUCCCAAAUACACAUAUGUAUAAAUACAGGACAAGAACAUAUUAAUAAUAAGUCUAAGCACUUGAAUAAUAUGCUGGCUACUUAAUACUGAUAUUUUUAUCCAGGGAUAACAACAGAGAAUAACAAUAAUAUGGCUUAAAGAAUUGCCAAGUUUUUUUUCCUCAUCAGAAUUAUGUACCAACUUCAUAUAAUAAUCUAUGUAGACAAUAUUUCCUUCUUAAUGUAAUUCAGUUGCAGACUUUUUACAGACCAAAGCAUAGUAAAAAAUCAACCCCCCC